rnacentral:siRNA from 1 species
AUCAACAUAGUUGUGCUUAUUGGU